rnacentral:snRNA from 1 species
AUACUUACCUGGAUGGGGUCAAUGGGACAUCAUGAAGGCCCAUGGCCUAGGUUGGUGACCUCCAUUGCACUUUGGAGGGGUGUCAGCCUAAGGUUUUUCCAAGUGGUCGUAAUUUGUGGCAGUGGGGGCCUGCGUUCACGCGGCUCCUAC